UUAGCUAGUUGGUGGGGUAAAGGCNUACCAAGGCGACGAUCAGUAGCUGGUCUGAGAGGAUGAUCAGCCACACUGGAACUGAGACACGGUCCAGACUCCUACGGGAGGCAGCAGUGAGGAAUUUUCUGCAAUGGGCGAAAGCCUGACAGAGCAAUACCGCGUGAGGGAUGAAGGCCUACGGGUUGUAAACCUCUUUUCUCAAGGAGGAAGAUCUGACGUUACUUGAGGAAUAAGCAUCGGCUAACCCCUGUGCCAGCAGCCGCGGUAAUACAGAUGAUGCAAGUGUUAUCCGGAAUUAUUGGGCGAAAAGCGUCCGAA
rnacentral:rRNA from 1 species